UUUAGCGCAUAACUUAUUAAUACAUCCCAACUUAAAAAAUUUUAUUAAUUCAAGAUAAGGGUAUUAUAAAAUUAGUGAUGAAACUGAUAUUGAAGCUGCUGACUGUUGCAUGAAAAAGAUUUAGCAUGCUGCUGAUGUUGUUUCUGGUGAGUUACAAUUUAAUGAAUUUAAAAACACGUGUUGUGACUUGCCUAAAUUAUAUAGCAAGUGUUGUGAUUUGCAUAAAUAAUACAGCUUCUGUUGUGACUUGCCUAAAAUAUAUUGCAUGUGUUGUGACUUGCAUAAAUAAUACAACAAGUGUUGUGACUUGCCAAAAAUCUAUUUCAAGUGUUGUGACUUGCAUAAAUAAUACAGCUAGUGUUGUGACUUGCCUAAAUUAUAUAGCAAGUGUUGUAAUUUGUUAAAUUUUUUGAUAGACGACUCUGGCUUACCUUCAUGUGGUGUCUAUUGUUGAAAAUAAUUAAAAUAUAGCUUCAUUACUGGAGUUAAUCAUAUUACUCAUUCACUAAAAGCCAAGCCAAAUAUAUUAAAUUAUUUUUAAAAUAAUUAAAAAUUUUUUUUUUUAAUGUUAACAUUUUAUUUAUAAUUUAUUUUGAAACAGAAAUUUAUUUGUUAACCAAACAGAAUGGCUAGCUCGUAACCAUACUGUAUGUUCCUUACUUCUGUUAAUGUAAUAAUCACAUGAAAGACUUUAAUAUAGGUAGUUGCUAUACUUGGUUAUAAAGAUGAAAUGUUUUUUACAGCCAAUUGACUUUUAAUUAUAUCUCCACAAUAGUAGUUGUAUAAUUUUUUAAAGUAAUAUAUAUCCAAAUGGUUUGGUUAGAGGCAUUCUAAUGCCCCUUUCCUUAUGAUAUAUUUGGAUAGGCCCUCCCUUAUACUCCACUCUCUUAUGACCAUGGAUGCACCACUAAUGUAUAUUUUAAUCUAGUGGAAUAUAUUUUUUACUUUUUUGUUGUUGUACUUUAAAUAUUCAAUCAGAUUUUUCAAGAAUUAAAAAUGUUUUUGAUAUUAUAGUACUAAAACAUCAUCAACAUAUCUUUUAUGAGUUUUACAUUUAUCUCUCAUAUUUGGUGGUUGCCUGGUUGGGGGAAGAAGGGGGGGUCGUACGCCCCUUCCAUAAUAGAAACACCACUUGUAUACGUAAGAUCUUGUAUAACAUAAUUUUAUAUUGUAUACUAAUUUUACUCAUUUUAGUAAAGAUAAAUAUUUAUAAAA